GAAAUGCGAUAAGUAAUGUGAAUUGCAGAAUUCAGUGAAUCAUCGAAUCUUUGAACGCACAUUGCGCCCCCUGGUAUUCCGGGGGGCAUGCCUGUUCGGGCGUCAUUUCACCACUCAAGCCUCGCUUGGUAUUGGGCGACGCGGUCCGCCGCGCGCCUCAAAUCGACCGGCUGGGUCUUUCGUCCCCUCAGCGUUGUGGAAACUAUUCGCUAAAGGGUGCCGCGGGAGGCCACGCCGUAAAACAACCCCAUUUCUAAGGUUGACCUCGGAUCAGGUAGGGAUACCCGCUGAACUUAAGC
rnacentral:misc_RNA from 1 species